ACAUACAACCAUAAGCAGUAGAAAACUCGGGAUCCCGUCCGCUCUCCCCUAGAUAAGCUACUGACUGCCAGACUAGUACUCAGGUGGGUGACCACUGGGGAAUCCCUGGUGUUGUAUGUU
rnacentral:rRNA from 1 species